rnacentral:lncRNA from 1 species
UGCUUAGUUUGUAUAGGGGUUCAAGAAUAGCCUCACGAUGAUACGAUGUCGGCUAUCCUCGUUGCCUACACUCACCUCAUCAUAUGUAUAUGGAUUCCUCCUGGAUGUAAGCACAUGCUUUGUACUUCCCCAUGAUAGGGUGAAGCCGGUGCAUGAGUCACAAACGCUUGGAACCCACCAUGGUGGAAGGCCUACAAAGAGAUGUUCAAAACAUCUCUCGCUUAUCAACUUAAUAUUUGAUUUGAGGGAGUAGUUUUGGGCUACAUCAAAACAUUUUAAUCAUAUUAAAAGAACUUGGGCCUAUCACAACUAUUGGUCCAAGUCAAUAUGAUUUAGUAGCAUAUAAUACUCCCACUGUUUCGUUGAAACAAGCGAGACUAUAUGGAACUACUAACGAAUGCAUUGCAUCCUCAUAUGGACUAUAUAGUCAUAUUAGGUUUUAGGAUGAUUAUGAACCGUUUGAUUUGAUCCAACACGAGCCUUGUGUUGGACCUUGGGUUUAAGGUAGAUAGUCGUUGAUUUUAGUUACGCGUUUAAUCCAAUUAAACCGUUAUUUCCUAUUGGGCGUUGGACCCAACUAUUCCAUUUGCAUACAUAUAAACAAAAGGAAUACAUGAAAUAAUAAUAAGGGCUUAUGCCCUUUUUACAACCCAAAUCAAAUGAUGGACUUAUGUCCAUUUACAACAAAUUGAAUUAAUCAAAUUACAUUCAAAUCUAUACUACUAAAAACCCAAACAUUCAUAAUGUAUAUCGGCCAAUCACAUAGCUCAAUUAUCGUGGCCUUUGGUUCAUAAUCACCCUUUUCUUAAUCAAUCAUAUUAACUAAGAAAACAACUUUAAACAAUUGGUUUUUGGAUCCAUAGAAUUGAUUUAAAUGGAACUAAAUGAAAUGAAAAUCCAAUUCUCAUUAAAGAGACAAAACAAUUUUGUUCUCAUUUUAUUUGGGCCAAAAGGAAACUAUGACCACAACAAUUGGGCCAUAAUGCAAAUACAAAAACUUUUGGGGUCACUUUGUAAAAACACAAUAGUCCACAACUUCAUGUAAUUACAACUAGAUCCCAAAAUUUCAUUAAUGUAAAAACAUCAUUAAAGGAUCAAAACAAUUUGUCCUUUAGCGUUUUAGGGCCUUAACGUAAAAACGUAAACUUUUGGGCCAAAAUGCAAAAACACAAAAUUAUCAAAACUUUAUGUAAUUGCACAAAAGACCCCAAAAGUACCCCACUUGAGGGGUGGCCGGCCAAGGGAGUGUGUGAACAAGUGUGAAAGGGUUUUAGUGCAUGCAUGUGCAAUAUGCAAGUUGAUUUUGGUGGGUGAGGUGAAAUUGAUGGUUUGUAAGAAAAUGUUUUGUAAAAACAUUAAUGAGUUUAGACAAACAUUAAAGCCAAUUUUAAUGCGUCACCAAUAUCCAUCACCCAUCAAAAUUAAACCAAAACUUUAUGAAAAACAUAAAACUUUUGAAUCAAAACUUCAAACCUUUUUGUUCUUGGCAAGAACUUCAAGAACAUUUGAAGAACACCAUGAAAACUCAUAAUAGCCCCAUGGAUGUUUUCAUUCACCAAAACACAAUUUUUCACCUCUCAAAAGAGGGCUAAUAUCCUAGGGUACUUAGGGGUUCCAAAAGUCACCUUAAAACCAUUUUAACAAGACAAACAUGAACCCAAAAAAGUCACCCUAAGGAUUUUGGCCGAAUUUCCCAAAACUCAUGGCACCAAAUUUUAGUUCCAAUAUUCAUGCUUAUAUGAGAUACAUCUACAACAUUUGAGAUGCUAAAUUUUCUAGCAAAAUUUAUAUAUUCAAAGGCAAGAACAAAGCUUGUAACAUUUACAACAUUUAAAUCACAAAAUAUGAACAUCACAAAACCCAAAAGGAUUCACCAUACACUAGGCCUAGGCUCUGAUACCACUUGAAGGAAAAAUUUUGUCCUAACUAAGAACAAGUAUGAACAUUUGAAUACACAUGCAAGCUAUCAACACUUUAAAGUAGGCAUGCAUCCAAAAACA